UGGGGAAUCUUGGACAAUGNGCGCAAGCCUGAUCCAGCCAUGCCGCGUGGGUGAAGAAGGCCUUAGGGUUGUAAAGCCCUUUCAGUCGUGACGAUGAUGACGGUAGCGACAGAAGAAGCCCCGGCUAUCUCGGAGCCAGCAGCCGCGGUAAUACGGAGGGGGCAAGCGUUGUUCGGAUUUACUGGGCGUAAAGGGCGCGUAGGCGGGCGAUCAAGUCAGGGGUCAAAGGCCUGGGCUCAACCUGGGACGUGCCUUUGAAACUGAUUGUCUUGAGUGCGGGAGAGGGUGACGNAAUUCCCAGUGUAGAGGUGAAAUUCGUAGAUAUUGGGAAGAACACCGGUGGCGAAGGCGGUCACCUGGCCCGCAACUGACGCUGAGGCGCGAAAGCGUGGGGAGCAAACAGGAUUAGAUACCCGCGUAGUCC
rnacentral:rRNA from 1 species